rnacentral:lncRNA from 1 species
UAGGUGGCAGCGGCGGUGGGACGAUCGAGCAAUUCUGGUCGCUGUUGGAUAGCAGACCGGCGCUUCGCCCGCGUGCGCGUCUUCUACCACGCCGUCCUCGACCGUGGCUACUUCCUCGCCGACGCCGCCGAUCAUCUCUUCACCCCCACCAAGCGCCUCCGCUACCUCGCCAGGUUCCUCCUCGUCGCGCUUCUACUCACCAGGCGCGCCGACACUGUCCCUCGCCUCGCCACCCACAUCUGCACGCUCCUCGACGGCUCCAAGAAGACCCUCCAAGAAGCCAAAUAUAAGGAGUGGAAGCAUGUCGUCCAAGAAAUGGAGAAGAUGCGGCCGGCGACGACGACGGCGGCGGAAAUGGAGAAGAGCGGCCAUCGGCCAUCUCUCUCUUGCGUGCGCUCGCCGGUAGGCCAGGGAACUCGUCUAGCCCUUCUCCCCGAUGGCCGUCAACAAGAAUGGCUGAGUCACCCAACCAAAAAUUUCAUCACAGCAUUUUUCAGACAUCACAGUUCAAACAUGGACCGUGCAAACAAAAGAAAAGACCUCACCAUAGACUACAGAUCAGAACAACAACAGGGGGCAACCAGAUCUACAAGCUGUUGUGCAAUGAACAGAACCUUCAUCUCCAACAAUGGAAGGAAUGGUUUGCAGCUUCAGAUCUACAUCUACAUCUACCACAAUGCCAAGGCAAAGCUUGAAUUUUUCUCCACAUUUCAGAACAGCAAGCCAACACACAAUGAUUCAAAACCAAGAACAGCAGGAGUGAACCAAGCAGGAAGAGGCAAUAUUUGA